rnacentral:lncRNA from 1 species
UUUUUUUAAAUAAAAAGUGCGAAAGUAUAUUGCUAUAGGCACCAAAGAGGUGCUGCUCAUGUACAAAAAUUUACAUGUCAAUUAAAUUGUCCACAAGGUUCGUUAAUUCCUCCAUUGAACAAAGAGGAUGACUCCGUAACAAAAAAUCAAGAGUCUAAAAACAUCUAUUUUUUAGAAUAUCAAAACCAUCAGCGUCCUCAAACAAGAACAUUAACCCACUAGUAUCAUAAUAAUAGUUUCUAACAGCAAGAAAAUUAACCCAAAAAUAAAGGAAGCAAAUAAGAGUAGAGAAAAGAAGCAACGUAAACAAUCUUGUGAUAGUAAAUUUCUUUCCUUGUCCAACCCAAAACCUAUAAUUAACAUAACUCUAUACCCAAAUCAGCGAAAAGAAAAGAUAAAACUCCCUCAUACAAAAUAGAAACAAAUUACUUCUUGCAAUGGUACAGGAUAAUUUCUCAGAGUACACAAACAAGAACCAGAAAACUGAGAGGACUUACCCUUGAGGAUGCCCAGAAGUAGUAAUCCAAUGAAGUAAGGAAGAAAGCAGAUGAAGUGCCACAGAGAAAGCAAAAACCCUUUUGGAGGCUCCAUUUCUGACCUCAACCACACAGAUCUAACAAAUUCAACCCGAAACCCUUUUUAGAAAUCAAUCAAAUUUCUCCCUUAAACAGCAAAUAUUCUACUUUUAUGCACUGCAAACUACACAGAACACCCAAUAAGCAAACUUGCAAAAAGAAAAUAAACAACAACAACAACAACAACAACCCAGUAGACCAAAAUCAAUUUCCUGCAAAACCCACAUUAAAUAACUUACAGAAAAAGCCCUACUCCUGUGAUAUCACCCUUCUUUUCUGGCACCCAGAUGAACUGCAGCAAAGAAACCAGAGGAAAGUUCCUUGCGUUGAUUUGUAAACUUUUCUUGAAAUUGAACGUUGAAAUUUCUUGAUUGAAAAUACUGUGAAUGGUGGCUUUUGUAGGACUAUGAGAGAGAGAGAGAGAGAGAGAGAAAUGGUCAAUAGACAGUCUCUUCAAGCAUUGAAGCUUUCCAGAGAGAGAAUCAGAGAAAACCCAUAUAUAUAAACCCAGUUUGCCAUUCCAUGGAUUCUAGUAAAGAAGGCAAAGAAUAUUUUGGUUUUGUCUAUCUUAAUUUUAUCUAGAAAUAGGAACUUACAACUCUUUAACAAAAGAUUCUUUAAUUAAAAUUUUUGUUUCAUUUUAAAAAUUUUCUCUUUCAUUUUAUUCUUAAACUAAAAGCAAGCAAAUUAGGCCAACUGACUGUUACAUCCAAAAUUAAUAUAUACGCAUAUAUAAAUAUAUGUAUGUAUGUAUUCCCCGAAAAGUGAAAACUACAAUAACAUCAUUGGCUAACUAAUCUUGUGAUUAUUAUUGAAGAAAAAGAUAUUUAGCAGCUUAAUUAAAGUUUUGUUUUUUGGAUUUUACUUUUUGUUUUCUUGUCCGAAAAACACUGUUUUCUUCCUAAACAAACACAAGACCCUGACGUUUUUUGUCAUAAUAAUUAAAAAUAUAUACAUACAUACAUAUAUAUAUAUAUAUAUAUACCGUCACCUACUCAUUUUUUUAGAAAUAUCUACGUAUAAUUCCAUUUUUUUUCCUCAGAUGUGUAAAAAUCAAGAUAUUAUUUCUUUUUUCUUAGCAAAAUGUAAUAUUUUAAUUCCAAAUUUAGUUUAUGUUGACUUGAAUAUUAAAUUUAGUGCCUGAUUUUUUUUACAACUAUUAUGUAAUCUUUGAAUUUAAAUAAAAAAUUAUUAAAAUUUAUAUUACUAUUAUUUAUUAAUAAGGAUAAAAAAAAUUAAUUUAAAACUUUAACUCUUAAUUUAAGAUUUAGAAAAACUAGGCAUGAUUUAAAAAUAAAUUUUAAAAAAAUAAUAAUAAAUAAAUUGAGAUUAAAUACAAAAAAAAAUUAUUUUAUUUAAUACGCGCAUGCCCCAAGAGUUGUGUCUUUUUGUUGGAUUUUUUUUUAAAAAAAAAAGAAUUGUUUUUUCUUUUUAGGAUAAGAUAAGAUGACUAUUCAAUGUGUGAUAAAAAAAAAUUAUGAUGAUUAUGUUGAAUUUUUUAAUUAAUUAAGUGAAUUUAUAUAUGAAAAUUAUUAUAGGUUAAAAAAAUAUAUCAAAUUAUUAAAUUCGUUUAAAAGUAAUAUAAUACAAUUAAAACUUUAAAGAUGUGAUUAUAUCUUUCAAAUUAUAAGUAUAAUUUUUAUUAUGAUAUUUUAUUAUAAAAAUAGAGNNNNNNNNNNNNNNNNNNNNNNNNNNNNNNNNNNNNCAAGAUUGUUUACGUUGGUUCUUUUUUCUACUCUUAUUUGCUUCCUUUAUUUUGGGGUUAAUUUUCUUGCCGUUAGAAACUAUUAUUAUGAUACUAGUGGGUUAAUGUUCUUCUUUGAAGACGCUGAAGGUUUUGAUAUUAUAAAAAAUAGAUGUUUUUAGACUCUUGAUUUUUUCUUACGGAUUCAUCCUCUUUGUUCAAUGGAGGAAUUAACGAACCUGGUGGACAAUUUAAUUGACAUCUAAAUUUUUGUACAUGAGCAGCACCUCUUUGGUGCCUAUAGCAAUAUACUUUCGCAAAAGCAUCUACACACACACACACAUAUAUAUAUACAUAUAUACAUACAUACAUACAUACAUACAUACAUACAUACAUACAUAUAGUAUGAUAAUGAUGUUUGACGGGUUAAGAAAUUUCCUUUUUUUUUUUUAUUUUCUUUUGAAAAAGAUUGACACAUUGCAAUUCAUGGUGUCAUUUUCUUAAAAGUUUUGCACUUACAUUUUCAUAUUAAAAUAUAUAUCAUACAAUAAAAAGUUAUAAAAUAUUAUUUGGUAGAUAAAAGAAAUAUGAAUCUAAUUUUAAAUAAAUUAUUAAUUUUUUAAUUAAAAAAAUCAAUUUAAAUUUUUAACUGCUUUAAUUAAGAAAAUAUAAUGGAUUCAAAAUAUUCAUUUCAUUUUAAAAUAUAAUAAAAUUAUUUAUACUUAAUUUAACUUGAUCAUUCGAGUAAUAUAAAUUAUAAAUUUUUUAACAAAAAAUAAAUAAAUUCAAAUUUUUAAUAUAUUAUAAUUACUUUAAAUAAAAAAAUAUAGUUAAUAGCUAAAUAGACUUGAUGAUAUUUAAUCUAAUUUGACCGUUGCAGUUUUACUACCAUACUAAUAAAUUAAACUCGCGAUUCUACUUAAUCAUUAUAAGAUUAGACAGUGUUCAUAACAUACUCACGAAAUGAUGAAUGGCGUAUAAUUGAUGGCCCAAGCCCGUAUUAUUGAAGAUAAACUUGAAAGUACUAACAACUAAAUAAUAGAUGGUUUUGUCACUUCAUUCGGAUUCAUUCAAACGGGUAAAUCUUCCUACUUAUCCUCGAGGAAAACACUGCAUCAAGGGGAGAACAAAUUCUAAGCUCCUCUUUUACUGAUUCACCUACAAAUUAAAAUGUACAAGGACAUCUAAAAUCUCAGAUUUAUACAAAAAGUAUUUCAAUUUCCUUUGUGUGAGAAGGUUAACUUCUUCUUGGAACAUCAGCCAGAAUCGGAGAACUCAGUCAACUUCUUCCCGAUCUUCUUCUUGUCCGGUGGCCGAUGACCUAAAAGGUUCAAGUCAAUUGUUGCUCCAUAUAUUUGAGAUGAUUGUACAACUGCAUCAUAGGCCUUUGCAGAGAGGUCAAGGCCCUCAUUUUGAGCUCUCAAGUACAACUCAUAAGCCAGCCUUGGUUUCCCAUCAUUUGCAAGAGCCUCUAUAAGCAUUUCGUAAGUGAUCUCAUUUGGCGAGAUGUUCUCGGUUUUCAUUCGAUGAAACCAUUCGUAUGCUGCACUGCUCAUCCCAUUCCGGCCACAACUACUGAUUAUGGCAUUGUACGUAACAACAGUUGGCUCGACACCAGAUGAUGCCAUCUCCCGGAAGAUUGCAUCUAGCAAUUUGAACUUCCCUUGUGCAGUGAAAAUUGAAGCCAUAAUUGUGAAGGCGUAUAAGUUAGGUUNNNNN